CAGCAACCAAAAUUCCAAGACUCAGAAAAUCCCCAUGAUUUGCCUGUUACUACCUAAUGCAGCCUGGAUUGACAGCACAAUCAGCCCAAGGGAAAAUUCAGAAGACAAAUACUCCCUUCUACAAACAAGUCAGAUGACUUGUAAGUUAGAUGAAUGCAAGGCCAAGGUGGAUUUAGGGGCUGGACAAACCGUUCUCAAGCCAAGCAUCUGUGGACUGAACCCUCCAAGCGCGUUCCCCAUCACAUCGCAAGAAGCAGAAUCAUCAGUUUCAGGACCUUUCUGUACUGCAUGCAGAGCUACACUAACCUUUAGAUGAGCCACUUGCUCUCCUGAAUGGUGCUCCCAGCCCACGGCUCUGUGCUGCAAAGAAUUCAUGAAUAUCAAAACAAGUUUUGCUGUAUAUCAAAACAUGUCCAGCAGGGAAUACAGAAGCAUCAGAGACACCAAUAUGCUGCGGUUCUUCUGACAAGGUGUUUCUGAACUUGUAUAAUGCUAGUAAUGGAAGAAGUCCAAGUUCAGAAAACGAAGAAUUUCCCAGAUGAUCAAAAUCCAAGCUUAGAGAAGCCGAAGUCAUAGCCACUACUGGGCAGGACCUCUCUUGACAAGUCAUCUAUCACUGGAAUUAUUAUUGAGAAACAGAUGUUAAUAAAUGUUUUAAUGUGGAAA